AACGAACGCUGGCGGCAUGCCUAACACAUGCAAGUCGAACGAGACCUUCGGGUCUAGUGGCGCACGGGUGCGUAACGCGUGGGAACCUGCCUUUAGGUUCGGAAUAACUCAGAGAAAUUUGAGCUAAUACCGGAUGAUGUCUUCGGACCAAAGAUUUAUCGCCUUUAGAUGGGCCGGCGUUGGAUUAGCUAGUUGGUGGGGUAAAGGCCUACCAAGGCGACGAUCCAUAGCUGGUCUGAGAGGAUGAUCAGCCACACUGGGACUGAGACACGGCCCAGAAUCCUACGGGAGGCAGCAGUGGGGAAUAUUGGACAAUGGGCGAAAGCCUGAUCCAGCAAUGCCGCGUGAGUGAUGAAGGCCUUAGGGUUGUAAAGCUCUUUUACCCGAGAUGAUAAUGACAGUAUCGGGAGAAUAAGCUCCGGCUAACUCCGUG
rnacentral:rRNA from 1 species